CCCCUCUCAGGAUCGCUCCCGGAGAGUUUUCUGUGCUCUACCAGUCUUGGCUGUGGAAGGGAGAGUCAAGCAGAGGCCUAGCCCUUCCAUUCCUAGCUUGGGCAGUGGCUGGAGAGUGGAAGGCAGUCUGCUACAAGU